GGCGGCGGCAGCUGGCAUUGCUGGGCUGUGUGCAGGGGAUGAAUGGGGACCGACUGUGUGGGCACAGCAACUUAAAGGGUUUUCAGAACUUCGGAGGAGGACACAGUCCUCCAGCUAGGAACUGCUACAGACCUGACAGGUGUAUGGGAGGCCAGCAAGCAGCUGCUGUGGGUCAGUCUUCAUGGAAGAUUACAGCUGGAAGCUGUGCAACCAGAGCUCGACCAGCAGUAGUGAAGGGUCUCCAACCAGGUGGUCUUCACCUCCUCAGAACUGGACAGAAACUUUUGGAAUUCAUAUAUCUCAGCCUAAAUGAGCCAACGCAUCUGAAAAAUUGCCCUGAGGAAGGCAUGUGGGUGGUUUUCUGUUGAGUGACCAGAUUCAGUGCAUGGGACCAUGGCUGCCAGGUCAGAAAAGGGGGAGCAGGGCUGCAGCUCGUGGCAGCUCUACCCAUGCAGCUCCCUUUUCCCUCCCCAUGGCAUGUGUGGCUGUGCAGAACUCACUGACCACACUCAGGGAGAUAAAGCAACCAACAGAGAAUAACAUCAGCGUCUGGCUUGGCUAGUUUAUCUCUCUGACUCAAAGUGGAAGUCUUAACUGGAUUCACCAGUGGUUCAAUGAGCUGAGCUGUACCCCAAAGCCAUCCCUCCAGUGUGGCCGGGCUCAGGUGGAGCAGAGUGGGACCACAGCAAGACCUGCAGUGCCAGCCAGUGGGAGGACACCAAUGAUGAUGACGAGAUGUGCAAUGAACUGGAUGUGUCACCUGCCUGGGAUGAGAAGCCAGGUCAAGGUUUCACCAGUGAUACAAGAAAGGCUGCAGGCAGACAUGCAUAAGCACAUUGUAUUUCUAUAAAUAUUACUUGAUAUAAGAAGACAUCUCGUUAUGAGGCUUGACUCUUGCUUGUCUAAGCAAAGGAAUGCUGGAUGGGGGACAGCAUGUGCUCGUUGAGGCAAUGAGAUUGCUCAUCUGUGAGUGUCCCUGAGAAAGCCCUGGGUGACACAGAGAUUCUUUUAUUCCUCUGCUACCACAGACCAAAACAAGUGUAAAUACCUCUCCAGUUCAAAGUAUUACUUCUUGCUGUUUUAAUAACAAAGUUCACUGCAUAAUUUGGUUCUAUGCUCCUUAUUCACUAUCAGCGAAUCCAAAAGCAAAGUAGGAAAGGGGUGAAAGGCUAGAAGUGCAAAGAGAAGUUGCUUACAGCUGACGUUUAUUUCAUGUCAUUAAACCUUCAUUUUCAGUGCCACUAAUCCUUCAUUUUGAUGACAACUUCAAAGAUCGCUUGUAAUUAUAUUUUAAUGAAAAAGCUGAAUCCAGAGAUGUAGAUGCAAAAGGGCAAUUGCCUACUGUGCAUUGCGUUUAGAAGGGACAAUUAACUGUACAUUUCAGGGGUGGAUUGAAAGGAUGAAUUUUAACGGUGACAGAGUUUAACGAUCAGGAAAACCUUGGUUAAAAAAAAAACAAACUGCCUGCUAUUUUAAUUUCCAUUUUACAAUGGGUCCUUACAGUUAUUUCAGUUCUUAAAGAAGGAUAGAUCUCAGUGACAGCCAGAAUUAAUGAGGUGUGACUAACCAGGAGGGCACCUGUAACCUUUACUUGUUCAAAGAAAUCUGUAUCUAACAUGCAUUUAUUCAGACUCCUAAUUAUCUCCUUAAUAAAACUACUAGAAGUGAUGAAUGAAUGAUUUUUUUUUCUUAAUAUUUAAAAAAGAGAUUAUUUUUCGUUUAGGUCAGACUAGUUGGAGGUUGGUUUACAAUUAAAAAUGAGUGAUCAUUUGCUUUAAAAUGUGUUUUUGCUGUAUCUUAAAUGUCCUGAAUACAUAUCGGG